rnacentral:misc_RNA from 1 species
UCGUAACAAGGUUUCCGUAGGUGAACCUGCGGAAGGAUCAUUACCGAGUGAGGGCCCUCUGGGUCCAACCUCCCACCCGUGUUUAUUUUACCUUGUUGCUUCGGCGGGCCCGCCUUUACUGGCCGCCGGGGGGCUCACGCCCCCGGGCCCGCGCCCGCCGAAGACACCCUCGAACUCUGUCUGAAGAUUGAAGUCUGAGUGAAAAUAUAAAUUAUUUAAAACUUUCAACAACGGAUCUCUUGGUUCCGGCAUCGAUGAAGAACGCAGCGAAAUGCGAUACGUAAUGUGAAUUGCAAAUUCAGUGAAUCAUCGAGUCUUUGAACGCACAUUGCGCCCCCUGGUAUUCCGGGGGGCAUGCCUGUCCGAGCGUCAUUGCUGCCCUCAAGCCCGGCUUGUGUGUUGGGCCCCGUCCUCCGAUUCCGGGGGACGGGCCCGAAAGGCAGCGGCGGCACCGCGUCCGGUCCUCGAGCGUAUGGGGCUUUGUCACCCGCUCUGUAGGCCCGGCCGGCGCUUGCCGAUCAACCCAAAUUUUUAUCCAGGUUGACCUCGGAUCAGGUAGGGAUACCCGCUGAACUUAAGCAUAUCAAUAA